rnacentral:sRNA from 1 species
ACGGACAAGGAUGUCCGUGGUAUUAGACAGACGCGAUGUUUUGACGUAAGGCAAAACUCGCAGUCAAAAAUGUACAAGGAUGUACAUUUUUGACGUUG